rnacentral:rRNA from 1 species
AUGUGGCGCACAACGAGUUUCCUAGGCCGAUAGGAUUAUUGUCUCCCAGCCAGUAUCUCGAGGAUCGAGGCAAUAUCCCUGCUCACAGUGGUUUCCAUCAUGUGUCGUUGCUUAUUUGUGUUGUGGUGAUUGUGUUUCAGCUAGGAGACACUGGGCAAUCUGAGAGAGCGCUACGUGACUGGGCUAGACUUUUGUAAUUGUUGGUCUUGAACGAGGAAUGCCUAGUAAUCGUAGGUCAUUAUCCUGCGAUGAUUAUGUCCCUGCCCUUUGUACACACCGCCCGUCGCUCCUGCCGUGGCUCGUGCCGGUGAAGAGGGGGAGGCAGCGUCAACGGAGUAACAUCUGAUUGUACGUGGAACCCCUCUGAACCUUCGCGAGUAGAGGAAGGAGAAGUCGUAACAAGGUUUUCGUAGGUGAACCUGCGAAAGGAUCAUUAU